GCCGGGUGCGGUGGCCCACACCUGUCAUCCCAGCAACUCGGGAGGCUGAGGCAGGAGGAUCUAGAGUUCAAAGCCAGCCUCAGCAAAAGUGAGGCCCUAAGCAACUCAGGGAGACCCUGUCUCUA
rnacentral:sRNA from 1 species